CUCUGCAUUCAGUCUGGUUCUUAGAGCUCUCCUCUGACCCCAAAAGAGUGCACUGAGCGCAGGAGAGCCCCCUCAGGGGGAGGGGCGCCUUUACUGCAGCACCUCAGACCUGGACAGCUGAGACCACAAUCAAGCUAGCACCACCGUGGGAAAGACUGACAGACAGAAAGACGGACAGGGCGUUGGGCAGAGACCCCGGAAGCCUCGGUCCCUCUGGCUUGGUCCAAUCCCGCCUCAGGAAGCGCCUUCGUUACCUGCUCCUCGGCUUCCCACGGCCACAGAUGCAGGGCAGCCGCCUCCGCCCGGGGAGGGAAGCCCCGGCCACCGCAGCCGCCGCUGCCCGCCCUCCUUCCCUCCCUCCCUCUUCCUCGCCCUCCCUCCCUCUCUCCCUCCCUCGCGCGCUGCCGCUCGCGGGGCCCUCCCGCGGGCAACCUGUUCUGGACCAAAUCCAGGUAUCUCCGAAAGAGAGAAAAAAAGA
rnacentral:lncRNA from 9 species